rnacentral:rRNA from 1 species
UACAGAGGUCCCAAGCGUUGUUCGGAUUCAUUGGGCGUAAAGGGUGCGUAGGCGGCAGGGUAAGUUGGAUGUGAAAUCCUGGGGCUUAACCUCAGAAUUGCAUUCAAUACUGCCUUGCUAGAGAGCUGUAGAGGAGACUGGAAUUUACGGUGUAGCAGUGAAAUGCGUAGAUAUCGUAAGGAACGCCAGUGGCGAAAGCGAGUCUCUGGGCAGCAUCUGACGCUGAGGCACGAAGGCCAGGGGAGCAAAACGGG